UGGAACGAGCCCUGACACAGUUGGCGAGAGCCAAUCAGACGAUCCAAGCUUUUUGCCAUCCAAUCAGCUCGAUGACACAAUUGGUCAGAGCCAAUCGGGAGCCUCGUAGGGCGGGUCAAAGACAAAUGCGAACAUCCUCCAUCUUGGAUCCUCGCUCUCAGCCUGACAGCAGCGCUAUGAGGAGGAGGUGCGGGGUCCUGAUGUCCAGCCAGGUUAUCAGUGCGUCCCAAAGCUGAUCCAGUCCCUGCUGGACUGAAGACGGAGCGUUACAUCUGUCUGGUCUGUGGACACAGCCGGGACAGAGGACAUCACUUCAGGACGCUCUGUGGAGGACUGACUGGCUGAGAAGAGGAGGCAGGAUCCAAACAGAGUUACCUCCUCCUGUUGUUGUGUGUUUCAGUCUCUCUGAUGUCUCUUUAUUAUUAAUGUCCUUCUCUGCAGAAACACAGACAGACAGACAGACAGAGAGAAAGACAGCUACUUUAUUUGACCUUCUAGGUGGUGUAUCAGCCGACUAUAGAACAAACCAUAUGUAGUUGUAUUGUUUUCUACUGUUGUUGUUUACAGAGUGAACAUCUGUAGAGGAGGAAACACACACAGCUGUGUAGAUGUGUGUAGAUGUGUGUAGAUAUGUGUAGAUGAAGCUUUACAUCUAAAUAAUGCUCCUUGUUCACUGCAGCUGAGGACAAAGACUUUAGAUACUUCAUGUGUUCAUCCUCAGCUGAUAGGAGGGAGAUGAUGUUUCACUCUCAUGGUGUCAAUAAUCAAACAGCAUGUUGUAAUCAGUCAUCACUGUCUGGACCAGCAGCAUCUGGCUCUAUCUCUGUACCAUUUUUAUAUAUAUAUAUAUAUACAUAUAUAUAUAUAUAUACACAGUAUUAUUAUUACUAUAUUGAAUGUAACCUUUGAAUGAUUUGAGGUAUUCAAUAAAAACAGGCCUUCUGUGCUGAACUGUG